GAGGAAUAUUGGUCAAUGGACGCAAGUCUGAACCAGCCAAGUAGCGUGCAGGAUGACGGCCCUCCGGGUUGUAAACUGCUUUUAGUUGGGAAUAAAAAAAGGGACGUGUCCCUUAUUGUAUGUACCUUCAGAAAAAGGACCGGCUAAUUCCGUGCCAGCAGCCGCGGUAAUACGGAAGGUCCAGGCGUUAUCCGGAUUUAUUGGGUUUAAAGGGAGUGUAGGCGGUCUGUUAAGCGUGUUGUGAAAUUUAGGUGCUCAACAUCUACCUUGCAGCGCGAACUGGCGGACUUGAGUGCACGCAACGUAUGCGGAAUUCAUGGUGUAGCGGUGAAAUGCUUAGAUAUCAUGACGAACUCCGAUUGCGAAGGCGGCGUACGGGAGUGUUACUGACGCUUAAGCUCGAAGGUGCGGGUAUCGAACAGGAUUAGAUACCCUGGUAGUCCGCACGGUAAACGAUGGAUGCCCGCUGUUAGCGCCUGGCGUUAGCGGCUAAGCGAAAGCAUUAAGCAUCCCACCUGGGGAGUACGCCGGCAACGGUG
rnacentral:rRNA from 1 species